GGACGAACGCUGGCGGCGUGCCUAAUACAUGCAAGUCGAACGAGUCCUCCCAAUUUGAUUUUAUGCUUGCAUAAAUGAUUUUUGGAUUCGGGACGAGUGGCGAACUGGUGAGUAACACGUGGGUAACCUGCCCUAAAGCAGGGGAUAACAUUUGGAAACAGAUGCUAAUACCGUAUAAUUAGUUGGAACCACAUGGUUCCAACUUGAAAGAUGGCUCUGCUAUCACUUUAGGAUGGACCCGCGGCGUAUUAGCUAGUUGGUGAGAUAAAAGCUCACCAAGGCGAUGAUACGUAGCCGACCUGAGAGGGUAAUCGGCCACAUUGGGACUGAGACACGGCCCAGACUCCUACGGGAGGCAGCAGUAGGGAAUCUUCCACAAUGGACGAAAGUCUGAUGGAGCAACGCCGCGUGAGUGAAGAAGGGUUUCGGCUCGUAAAACUCUGUUGUUAAAGAAGAACAAGUGUAAGAGUAACUGUUUACGCUUUGACGGUAUUUAACCAGAAAGCCACGGCUAACUACGUGCCAGCAGCCGCGGUAAUACGUAGGUGGCAAGCGUUGUCCGGAUUUAUUGGGCGUAAAGCGAGCGCAGGUGGUCUUUUAAGUCUGUUGUGAAAGCCCUCAGCUCAACUGAGGAAGUGCAGCGGAAACUAGGAGACUUGAGUACAGAAGAGGAUAGUGGAACUCCAUGUGUAGCGGUGAAAUGCGUAGAUAUAUGGAAGAACACCAGUGGCGAAGGCGGCUAUCUGGUCUGUUACUGACACUGAGGCUCGAAAGCAUGGGUAGCGAACAGGAUUAGAUACCCUGGUAGUCCAUGCCGUAAACGAUGAAUACUAGGUGUUGGAGGGUUCCGCCCUUCAGUGCCGCAGCUAACGCAUUAAGUAUUCCGCCUGGGGAGUACGACCGCAAGGUUGAAACUCAAAGGAAUUGACGGGGGCCCGCACAAGUGGUGGAGCAUGUGGUUUAAUUCGAUGCUACGCGAAGAACCUUACCAGGUCUUGACAUCUUCUGCCAACCUAAGAGAUUAGGCGUUCCCUUCGGGGACAGAAUGACAGGUGGUGCAUGGUUGUCGUCAGCUCGUGUCGUGAGAUGUUGGGUUAAGUCCCGCAACGAGCGCAACCCUUAUUAUUAGUUGCCAGCAUUAAGUUGGGCACUCUAGUGAGACUGUCGGUGAUAAACCGGAGGAAGGUGGGGAUGACGUCAAAUCAUCAUGCCCCUUAUGACCUGGGCUACACACGUGCUACAAUGGAUGGUACAACGAGUCGCGAAACCGCGAGGUCAAGCUAAUCUCUUAAAGCCAUUCUCAGUUCGGAUUGCAGGCUGCAACUCGCCUGCAUGAAGUUGGAAUCACUAGUAAUCGUGGAUCAGCAUGCCACGGUGAAUACGUUCCCGGGCCUUGUACUCACCGC
rnacentral:rRNA from 1 species